UACGUAGGGGGCAAGCGUUGUUCGGAAUUACUGGGCGUAAAGGGCGCGUAGGCGGCCUGCUAAGUCGGAUGUGAAAUCCCCAGGCUCAACUUGGGAACUGCAUCCGAUACUGGAUGGCUUGAAUUCGGGAGAGGGAUGCAGAAUUCCAGGUGUAGCGGUGAAAUGCGUAGAUAUCUGGAGGAACACCGGUGGCGAAGGCGGCAUCCUGGACCAAUUCUGACGCUGAGGAGCGAAAGCCAGGGGAGCAAACGGG
rnacentral:rRNA from 1 species